AAAUUGAAGAGUUUGAUCAUGGCUCAGAUUGAACGCUGGCGGCAGGCCUAACACAUGCAAGUCGAACGGUAGCACAGAGAGCUUGCUCUCGGGUGACGAGUGGCGGACGGGUGAGUAAUGUCUGGGAAACUGCCCGAUGGAGGGGGAUAACUACUGGAAACGGUAGCUAAUACCGCAUAACGUCGCAAGACCAAAGUGGGGGACCUUCGGGCCUCACACCAUCGGAUGUGCCCAGAUGGGAUUAGCUAGUAGGUGGGGUAACGGCUCACCUAGGCGACGAUCCCUAGCUGGUCUGAGAGGAUGACCAGCCACACUGGAACUGAGACACGGUCCAGACUCCUACGGGAGGCAGCAGUGGGGAAUAUUGCACAAUGGGCGCAAGCCUGAUGCAGCCAUGCCGCGUGUAUGAAGAAGGCCUUCGGGUUGUAAAGUACUUUCAGCGAGGAGGAAGGCGUUGUGGUUAAUAACCACAGCGAUUGACGUUAC
rnacentral:rRNA from 2 species